rnacentral:tRNA from 1 species
GCCUGGGUGGCUCAGUCGGUUGAGCAUCUGACUUUGGCUCAGGUCAUGAUCUCACAGUUCGUGGGUUCAAGCCCUGCCUCAGGCU